rnacentral:rRNA from 1 species
CACUCCUGCGGGAGGCAGCAGUGGGGAAUAUUGCACAAUGGGCGCAAGCCUGAUGCAGCGACGCCGCGUGGGGGAUGAAGGCCUUCGGGUUGUAAACUCCUUUCGCUAGGGACGAAGCUUUUUUGUGACGGUACCUAGAUAAGAAGCACCGGCUAACUACGUGCCAGCAGCCGCGGUAAUACGUAGGGUGCGAGCGUUGUCCGGAAUUACUGGGCGUAAAGGGCUCGUAGGUGGUUUGUCGCGUCGUCUGUGAAAUUCUGGGGCUUAACUCCGGGCGUGCAGGCGAUACGGGCAUAACUUGAGUGCUGUAGGGGUAACUGGAAUUCCUGGUGUAGCGGUGAAAUGCGCAGAUAUCAGGAGGAACACCGAUGGCGAAGGCAGGUUACUGGGCAGUUACUGACGCUGAGGAGCGAAAGCAUGGGUAGCGAACAGGAUUAGAAACCCUGGUAGUCCCAUGAU